GGUAUGAGCUUUUGUGUGCAUGCACACUUCUUCAGAUACAUAUCUGAAGAAGUGUGCAUGCACACAAAAGCUCAUACC